UACGUAGGGUGCGAGCGUUGUCCGGAAUUAUUGGGCGUAAAGGGCUCGUAGGCGGUUUGUCGCGUCGGGAGUGAAAACACUGGGCUUAACUCAGUGCUUGCUUCCGAUACGGGCAGACUAGAGGUAUUCAGGGGGAGAACGGAAUUCCUGGUGUAGCGGUGAAAUGACGCAGAUAUCAGGAGGAACACCGGUGGCGAAGGCGGUUCUCAGGGAAUGUCCUGACGCUGAGGAGCGAAAAGUGUGGGGAGCGAACAGGA
rnacentral:rRNA from 1 species